ensembl:lncRNA
AGAGUGAGCACACAACACGCACGCAGAGAGGACAGGAGUCUAAUUUACUGACCGCAGUGUAAAAAGAAAACAGAUUCUGACCCUAAGCUCUUCUGACACAAAGGUUCUCUGAUUCAGGAUGAGCAAAGCCGCCAAGCAAAGGCUGGGGAGGGGCUCUCCGCAGAGGUGAUGGGGACCUCCGAGCAAGACAGUCUUUUCUGUUUUGAAACAGAGGGGGCAGGUGUCUCCACCAUGGGUGGAGACAAAAGCCGGAGCAGCCCUGGGCGGACCUGCUGCCUGCCAGCUCAGCAGAGUCAUCUCGAGGGCAAAGCACACUGUGAGCAUUAAGACAAGGUUUUGGAUGAGGAGGUGGAAGGAGAGAGAGAAGGGUCCCCAGCCUUGCUGUGAAGCGCAGUCACGUGCGAACAUGCUGAGAAGAGGGCCUGGCGGUCCUGAGCCCUGCGGAGGCGUCGGCUCUUCCUGCUGUCGCUGUGAUGGUCCACUUGUUAGGAGCGCACACCCUGCACGCCCGGCUUUUGCUGUCUCCCUUCUCUGUGACCUUGGUCAGGUUAACCUCUCCGAGCUUCCCCAUCUGGACACCUUGGUCUGAGAUGCUCUGUGCUGUCUGCCGUGUUCUCUCUGCCCACCCAUGAAUGCAGACGAUCCUGGAGAGGAGACAAUCUCUCUCCAGGGCUGUUAUUCCAUCACCAACCCUCAGAGUGAGACCAGCGUGGACAGGGAAACAAGAUGUGAUGUUACCGCACAGACACUGAGUGUCAGUACUCACAGGUAUACUGACUACAGGUGUACUGAGCGUCAGUACCCGCAGGUACUCAGGUUCCUUCUCCAGCCCGAAGAAGCCUUGCCUUCCCUCCUGUGACCUCCCUCAUCACUGCAGCCCAAGGAGCUCAGAAGACACCAUCACUUUCUCUGGACGAUGCCAGGUAAACCAGAUGACCCCUUCCACAACAACAGCUUUUUUCCAUCCUAGAUAUCUCACUGGAGCAAUCCGGCCAUCUGUCCUGCUCAUGGGAUUUUUUGGGGGGUGGAAAAGCAGACGUCAGCUUGGCCUCAGACCUCUGUGUUCAUUCAGUUAUCCUCCUCUCUUCCUGCCUACACUCAGUCCAUGAUUAACGGGAUGUUUUCUCUCCUCUCUGCUCCAGACCCGCUGACGUAAGCGGUCUGCUCCUGGUUGAUGAACUCCUUUCUGUUCUGCUCGCUAACCUUGAUGUCAUUCCCCUCUUCCUUCAUUGUAGGUGAUCCCACUUAUCCAGGCAUCUAACCCCCACCACUUCUGCAGGUCAGACACACAAGGGAGGGAUCAAUAAGUGAUAAUUAGUUAUCAUAAAAUGAUUUCAGCAGAAAGUAGUUAUCACAGGCCAGAAAAUUGUGCGAAGAGCCAAGAAGAGCCAAUAAAUUAAAGUUCACCAAAAGGCA